GACCCUGAUGCUGGGAAAGACUGAAGGUGGAAGGAGGAGGGGCUGAUAUAGGAUGAGAUGGCAUCACUGGAUGGCAUCACCAACUUGAUGGACAUGAGUUUGAGUAAGCUCUGGGAGUUGGUGAUGGGCAGGGAAGCCUGGCGUGCUACAGUCCAUGUGGUCGCAGAGUCAGACAGGACUGAGUGACUGAACUGAACUGACAGACCUGUCCCAUCUGCUUCCCUGGAGCACAGAGUACCUCACUCCACCCUGAACUCCCUCAGGGGUUGUUGGAGGUCAGCAGCUGCAGCAGCACAGGGUUCAGUCUCCAGAGAGGCAGAUGGGAAAUGCUAUUGUUGUUCAGCCAUUGGUAAUGCUCUUGGCAAGUGCCAGUUUGUAGUUGACAGUCUACAAGGUGAUGAAUGUAUUAAUUAUCUUGAUUGAGAUAAUCAUUUCAUAAUACAAUGAACGUGUAUAUAAAAUCAUCUUGUUUUUAUUUAAGCUAUACACGCAGUUGCAUUUCUCAAUUAUUCUUCAAUCAAGGGUGAAAAAAUGAUCAAACACAUAGAAGCGGCCAAUGAUGAGUUCAAGAUUUAUGAUUAAUGUCAGCCUGUGCACUUAAGGUCCAACUAGCCAACCACGCUAACCUUAAUAAGUAUUGUUCAACCUAGGCAAUCUGCCCCUCCAUUGAAGAAGGUAUGCUGCUGGCCUUUGGCAAAGUUAUGAGAUUGGGUAGGUUUAUCUUUGUUGGCUGUCCACUAGCAGAGCUUGUGCCUCUUUUUAGCUAUUUCAUAGGGUAUGGAAUGAUUGACAUCAGGAGUCGCAAAGAUUUUUAUCUUCUGAAUAAACUCUUUGUUUUUAAGAGGAGAAAACCAAGGAUAAGAGAGGUUAUAUGGCAAUAAGAUACAAUCAAGCUGGGAUAAGAAUAUAAAUUACACAACGCUUUGAAUGACUUCAUUUAUUUAUUUUUUUAACCAAUCAAGUUUUAAAUCAUUGAUGGACAAGCAGUUGGUUUGUACAAGGAACUGAGUGCCAGAAAAGGGCAGAUCACUCAUGCACCCAUCAGAUGCUCGGUGAGCAGCCCUGUGUGCCAGGUACUACACGAGUACCGGGGAAAUGUCAACAAGAGACAGGCAGUAUUUGUAUGUGCGGGGAGGUUGCUGUUGUUGUUCAGUUGCUCAGUAGUGUCCGGCUCUGUGACCCUGUGGGCUAUAGCUCGGCAGGCAUCCCUGUCCUUCAGCAUCUCCUGGAGCUUGCUUAAACUCAUGUCCAUCGAGUCAGUGAUGCCAUCCAACCAUCUCAUCUUCUGUCGUCCACUUCUCCUGCUUUCAAUCUUUCCCAGCAUCAGGGUCUUUUUCAAUGAGUCAGCUCUUUGCAUCAGUUCAGUUCAGUUCAGUUCAGUUCAGUCGCUCAGUCGUGUCCGACUCUUUGCGACCCCAUGAAACGCAGCACUCCAGGCCUCCUUGUCCAUCACCAACUCCCA
rnacentral:lncRNA from 1 species